GCCUUCGUUUCCUUGGCAACGCAGUACACAAGUGCUAGCCCUAGCAGCUCGCGAUGUGCUUCAGCAGAGCAGACGCUGCGGAUAACUACCCUUUUGGAACAUGUCAACAGAGGAAACUUUUUCCUCACUUCCAUCCCCCAAAUUUGAUUGGGAACAAGUUUGUCCCUCUUAGGGGAUCACCCCACAGAGGGCCUGGGUGUUAUUUUUCAGAUGGAUAUGGCUUGGCAUACGACUUAUCUAAGAUCCCAACCAGUAUAAAAGGAUAUACUUUGGGAGCCAGAACAGCUGUGAGGUUUAAGCCAAUACAGAAGGAAAUGACACCUCAUGCAGGCAAGUACCAGAACAUAAGUCCUCAGCAGGAAAAACACAAACAAAAUUUUGCUCCAUUUAAUGUCUUGGUGCCUCGAUUUAAGAACUACCCAAAGGACACUUACUAUCCCAGGUAUGUCUCCUCUCUUUUGGUGCACUUCAACAAAAAAGCAAUAGGAGGAAAAGAAGUACGUAAUAAAAGAAGCACAUAAAGAAGGGAUGACAUCCAAACCAUCACAGUUAAAUAAGGAACCAUUCAGAGAUUUAAUCAAUUGUCUCACAGAUUUCUGGCAUUGUAGAAUGUAGAAUCAUAGUUACUCAUUCAAUGAAUUUUUAUUAAUAUGCCAGGCAGUUUUGUAGGUUCGAUAGAUUUUUGCACUAAAUCCAUCACACAAGGCUCCUGAUUUCUUGGGGCUUACAUUCUAGAGUCCAGACAGAGCACAAGCAAAUAUACAAGAAAAUAUCAAUAGUGAUAGAGUGACCAUAUAAUUUGUUAGUCAAACCAUGACACUUCUGAGAGUAAAAGGGGGCCUAUUAAUAAUUCUACCAAGACAGUACCCAUAAGGUAGGGACUGUCAUAGACAAACCAGGAAGUAGGUUGUCCAGGCUACAAAGAAGGUAAAACAGGAUGACAAUGUGAUAGGGAGUGAUGACCUGGAGUCUACUUCAGAAAGGGUUGAAGAAAUGACAGUUAACCUGAGAUCUAAAUGACAAGACUGAGCCAGCCUUGUGAAGAUCUGGGGACCGAGCAUUCCCAGCAGAAGGAACAGCAAGUGCAAAGGCUAUAAAUUGGGAAGGAAUUUGACGUGAACAAAAAGGCAUGCUGCCAUGGCUAGAGUGUAGUGAGCAAGUAGGAAAUGAGACAGAAAUGGAGGGCAUGCUGGAGCACAUAGGCCUUGCAGGCCAACAGGCUUACUCUCAAUGCUUUAGGAAGCUAUUCAGAAUGUAUAGACUUGUAGGGCAAAAGAUCAAGGACUUUCUUUUAUUGAUGAGAAAUCCAAGAAUCACAGAGUGAUGUAACUUUCUCAAGUUGCAUUAAGGAAGUAGAAGCAUUGAGUCUUGACCCCUAAGUCCAGUCCAUUAUUUCCUGACAGUAAAGAGUCCACACCAAAAGACAAAGUGUAUAUGAACAAAGACAAUUUUUAAAUGACCCCAUUGUCAAGAAAAUUUAACUGGCUUUGCUUUGCUUUGCCUACAUUGCAGAUAGAUUAUCACUGCACUUUUAUCACCAACUUUAAAUUGUGGGCAGUACUAAUUCAUCACUGCUUUAGAUCUCUUUCAUCACCCACCGCUUCUAGGACCUUCUCGUCUCUCAGCUAUAGAUACUGAGGUACAGAAAUAUCUUUUAAUCUGGAGUCGAUCUGUGCUCCAACUGGAUGUCAAGAUUGUCAAGUUAGAUGUUUAACGCUAACAUCUAACUCGAAAUACAUUAACAGGUAAAGGAAUCCCAUGCUUAAUUAAAAAGUUAAUCAAUCUGUUGCCUUUUUCCAAGAGGUUAGGCCUAGUCCAGGGACGGCUCUGGUACUGAUGGAGUUUGUGUAUGAUCACUAACUCAUUAGACAUGAUGCUUGUAUUUUUAUUUCUAGCCCUGGUGCAUACAACCCAGAGAAGAAGCCACCACCAAAAAUUGCCUGGCCAAUGAAAUUUGGAUCUCCAGACUGGGCUCAGGUUCCAUGUCUACAGAAAAGAACCCUAAAAGCUGAGCUGUCCACAGACAAAGACUUUAGAAAGCAUCGGAACCGUGUGGCCUACCUAAGCCUGUAUUAUAAUUGAGCAGCUGUGACUACCUUCACGUGCUCCUCUUAUACACAGACUCUCCAGGACUGAGGACAGAGCUGCUCUUCUUCUUCUACAUUACUGUGGCCCUCUUGUCUGGCAGCCUGGAGCCCAGGGAGGGACAGGGGCUUAUAGCUGCUGUAUGAGAACAUAAAGACUAGUGCACAGUGCUAUCUCCAUCUACUGACUUGUGGUGUACACGUGCGUGUCUGGGUCUGUGGGUUCCUGUUGGGUGCUGAGUUGGGUGAUUUCAUUUUAGUGAAAUAUUUGUGGGCCCCUGCUCUCUAGUUCUAAUUCCCAGGAGCCAAUUUUAUAUAUUCUACCACUAGCCCUGGUCAUAGGAGGCUGUUAGCCUAUACAUAUCAAGGGUUUGGAUGGGAUUUGGGCUUGCUAGAUACAGAAAACACUUAAGGCAGAUUAAAACAUGUAUUGGAGCUCUUCCAAUUGUGUUGCUCAGUGUGGAGUGGGAAGGUCUUGAUUUGGUUGACUUUCCCAGAUUGACAUAAAACUCAAAAACCAAAAAAUUGCCCCUUUCCUAUGACAUCAUCCAUUUAGUCUGUGAGUCAACAUAUAUACUGAGGUCCUACUAUGUGUUGAGCAGAGCAGUAAGCACUGGGGAUAUGGCAGGAAUCAAAAUAAAACUUAUCUACUAAGUCCUUGGGCCUGGCCUGAAGUCAGAGGAGGACUCCCCAGGGCAGCUAGGGGAUUGGGUCUGCCCUCCAAUCUGAAUGACCCCCUAGAACCUUACAAGUCAUUCUGGGGUUAUAAAGAUCAUAAUAUUUAUAGCCCCAGACUGACUUGUAAGCAGCUGCAUUUAAAGUACUUACUCAGACACUCAGGCCUGAGAGGUAGAUCCCUUUCCUUCCAGCACUAGCUGAAAUAAUCAAGUAUAUAGUUUGUUCAGGAUUGGCACUAAAUAUGAUUUAAUCUUUUAAUAAGACGGUCCUUUUGUACCCACUUAGGCUUCUUCGUAAUUACCAGAAAGGUGAUAAGCCUGCAUGUGUCUGGACACCAAAGAUUGAGAAGCUGCCAGUGGCUGCAAGAGAGCCUACUGUAACCCUCAUGGCCACCCCCUGAUGAGUGUUACCUGGGGAAAGGGCUAGCAAGAGGUGAAGCCUCCUGGUCAUAUGAUGCUGGGGGUGCCUAAUUCCUUAAAGGCCAAGGUCUUCUGAAAUAAUAAUGGUGAAGGACAGAAAAGUCUUUAUGAGAAAUCACAUAGGAUAUAUUAAGAUAAUGAUAAAGAUACCUCAGCAAGAACAUACCUAAUAUAUACACUUCUUUUAAUCUGAUGACUUAAUGAUUUCUGUUAUCUUAUCAAGAAGUAUUUAUGACUUGAGAUACGUCAGGAUUAACUGUUAUCACCUCUCCUGUACACCUCCCUCCUUUUUCUCCUUUGUACCCACAUGUGCAGAUUUUUUCAGAGGUGAUAAUUUAGCAUUUAAUGUUUUUUUUUCUGCUUCAAGGUCUUAGGUCCCUUUGGAGGAUAUUGAUGGGGGUGGAGGUGGGGAUAGAACAUCUUUCACACUGUUUGGUACAGAGACGCUCAAAGCUUUUCCCAGGGAAAGGAACUCUCUAAAAUAGUAAUCUGAUUUGAUGAAAGAUAAAAUUUUAAUAUAGCUUCAGUUAACCUUCAGGAUACUUUAAAUGCUACAUUGUAUAUAAAAGUAAUAAAGUACAAAUGAACACGAA
rnacentral:sRNA from 1 species